rnacentral:rRNA from 1 species
CCUACGGGGCGCAGCAGUGGGGAAUAUUGCACAAUGGCGGAAACCCUGAUGCAGCGACGCCGCGUGAGUGAAGAAGUAUCUCGGUACGUAAAGCUCUAUCAGCAGGAAAGAAAAUGACGGUACCUGACUAAGAAGCCCCGGCUAACUACGUGCCAGCAGCCGCGGUAAUACGUAGGUGGCAAGCGUUGUCCGGAUUUACUGGGUGUAAAGGGCGUGCAGCCGGGAAGACAAGUCAGAUGUGAAAUCCCGCGGCUCAACCGCGGAACUGCAGUUGAAACUGUUUUUCUUGAGUAUCGGAGAGGGAAUCGGAAUUCGUGGGGGAGCGGUGAAAUGCGUAGAUAUUAGGAAGAACACCAGUGGCGAAGGCGGAUUACUGGACGACAACUGACGGUGAGGCGCGAAAGCGUGGGGAGCAAACAGGAUUAGAUACCCCUGUAGUC